UUUGAACCAUAUCCAACUCAACCUUUUGCUAAAAACUACAAAACUAAAGAGCAACAGCCAAAUUGUAUUACGACUUUUGCGUCUACCUUGGGAAAUCCCUUUCUAUUUGUAUUUCGCGCUUCGUGUCACGUGAUUCAGACACAAACAAACAAAAUGGCGGAGGCUUCGAAAUCUACAAUGAGCGAACCAGCCAAAACAGAGGGAGAGAUGAGAAGAAGUAAAUGCGUGAGACAGCCAUCUAAGAGAAUGUUGUUGUAUUCUCAGGACACAGAUUCAGAUUCAAGUCUACAGAAGAGUUAAGGAAAACGUCCUGCCAGAAAGAUCCAGAAAGUUGAUACAUUAGCAGCAAUAACUAAGUGGUGCUCUUGUCACAGAUGCCCACAAUACCAUAGAGUGGAAGAUCGAAUUUGCUGUGGGAUGGUCCCAGAAUUAUGCUCAAGUCACAGAACUGAGAUGACUCUAUCGGUGCUGGAUAGGAUGACCCUCUACAGUCAGCAGCAGUAUCAACAAGAUGUGUUUUCCUUUUAUGCAGAGACACUAGAAGAUGUCAAUAAAUCUUUCAGACAUGCUGCAUACAGACAAUUUACCAUCUUAAUGCAUGAGAAUAACUGUCCCAGCAUGUUGUGUUAAAUUAAUAAGGGAGAAGUUUCCUAGUCCUUAAGGCCAGUAUACAGGCUUCGUACCAGGUGAAGGCCCAGUGUUCUAAUAAUUUUGCAUAUUUAUGCCCCCCUUCGAAGAAGAGGGGGUAUAUAGUUUUGCACAUGUCGGUCCGUCCACCAGAUGGUUUCGGGAUGAUAACUUAAGAACGCUUAGGCCUAGGAUCAUGAAACUUCAUAGGUACAUUGAUCAUGACUGGCAAAUAACCCCUAUUGAUUUUCAGGUCACUAGGUCAAAGGUCAGUGACUCGAAACAGUAAAGCGGUUUCCGGAUGAUAACUCAAGAAUGCUUACGCCUAGGAUCUUGAAACUUCAUAGGUACAUUGAUCACGACUGGCAGAUGACCCCUUUAGUUUUUCCGGUCACAAGGUCAAGGUCACAGUGACUCAAAACAAUAAAAUGGUUUCCAGCUGAUAACUCAAGAAUGCUUACGCCUUUUGAUCAUGAAACUUCAUAGCUAAAUUGAUAAUGACUGGCAGAUGACCCCUUUUGAUUUUCAGGUCACUAGGUCAAGGUCAUAGUGACUCGAAAUAGUAAAAUGGUUUCCUGAUGAUAACUCAAGAAUAAUUAGGCCUAGGAUCAGGAAACUUCAUAGGUACAUUGAUCAUGACUGACAGAUGACCCCUAUUAAUUUUCAGGUCACUAUGUCAAAGGUCAAGGUCACAGUGACAAAAAACGUAUUCACACAAUGGCUGCCACUACAACUGACAGCCCAC